rnacentral:lncRNA from 1 species
UCCCAACUGAAAAGACAAAAAUACCCCUACGCAUGUUAAAUUCCAACAUGAGUUAACUCACGUUUAUUACCGAUCUGCAUGAGUUAACUCACGUUUAUAGCAAACAACAGUUCUUGCAUUUAAUGCAACGCAGCCAAGUCAUAAAUGACAUGUAAGCUUGACAAAUUCAAAACUGAAACGAAUUACGUCAGUUUAACAGCAUAAUCACAUAAUCGCACGGAAACG